AGAGUUUGAUCAUGGCUCAGGAUGAACGCUGGCGGCGUGCCUAAUACAUGCAAGUCGAGCGGUAACACUUCGGGUGACGAGCGGCGGACGGCAGAGUAACGCGUAGGAACAUACCCCAAACUGAGGGAUAACUCCGAGAAAUCGGGGCUAAUACCGCAUGUGAUCUUCGGAUUAAAGCUUCGGCGGUUUGGGAAUGGCCU
rnacentral:rRNA from 1 species